AGUGCCCACAAUAGGAGUGCAUUUAUUAAUAAUAAAGUGUUGAAGGCGAUAUGAAGGAAAAGGUGUCACUCAAAUGGUGGUUGAAAUCUGGAAUGCACAGCCCGAGAAGGGUUCGUGGCGACAGGGCCUCUCGUUGUCAGGGAAGUUAUUAGAUGUACCACCCAGAGCUCCGAAAAUCCGUCUUUUCCCGCCGUCCGCCACUGAGCUGAAAGCCAAUAGCAAGUCCGUUGCGGUCUGCCUGAUUACCGACUUCUUCCCCGAGGUGAUCAAGGUCGAGUGGAAAAUCGGUGCCAAGGAGCAGGUGGCGAAAGUCGAGACGGAUUCGGUGGCGAAAGUCGAGACGGAUUCGGUGACGAAAAUGGGGACAAACACUUAUUCGCUGAUUAGCCGACUCGUUGUCACCAAGCUACAAUGGGAGUCGGAAACAAUUUCUUGCCACGCGAAACAUGAAAUCGACGUCGCAGAAUUAUCGAUUACAAGGCAUUCCAAAUACGCUGGCGCCAUUGCUGGUAAGUCAGUGGGUCCCACCUGCCCGCCGAUCGUCCAGGAAAAUCAGGAGAACACGGAAGAAGGAAUAUCGGCGAGCUCACUGCAGGUCGCGACAUUGACAUAUACCAUUCUGUUGAUGAAGAGUGUGUUAUACUGCGGCAUCAUCUCGUGCAUACUUUACAAGAUGGAAUACUGGGGCACGAAGAAGCCAUUGUAACUCGUAUUUUGUACAUUUUGUACAUUGUACAUUUUGAUAAAUGUCUUCCAUUUCAUUGUAAGCUUCAGUCUAUGUCCUCGUUGCGUACAAAGAGAUUGUACAUCCUGUUGCAAAAUAUGUGUUGGCUUGUAAGAGGCUAAUGAAGGCCGCGUGUUGAAGCUUAUAACCAGGUGAUUACAGAGCAAAAUACAGAGAACGAGCAGCGUUAAUCUAAUGCCAGAUAGACUGUUGUGGGGGUGCCGGUUAGUUGUUCAUCAAAUCACUUUUAUUGCUGAAUCCUUUUUGCUAACAUUUCAACGCCUUUGAAAAAAUGUAUCAUUCUAGAAAUCGAACAAUAAACGAGUUAGUAAGA